UCACAUUUCUCAGAAAUUUGACAACAAAGCAAAACACAGAUAUGUUGAGGCAACGAAGAAGGCCCAGUUUGAAAAUGGAGUUAUUAGUAAUGAAGUAGCAGGCAUAUUUGGAAAAUUAUGCCGAUAAGCAGGAUGGAAUUUGUGAAAGUAAGUGCCUGGUUGCAGCAUAUCUAUGUAUUAACAAGAUGUGCUCCAAACAUUUGGCGGACUUUUUUUCGCCUUCUCAACGUGCUAAGUUACGAGUUAAGAUGACUACCACCACGGCCGGUAAGAAACCCGAAGCAAAGGGCAAACAACCUUCCAGGAAGCUGCCUGCU